rnacentral:lncRNA from 1 species
UUCCUCCGAAAUUUAUCAAGAUAUCCCCGACGGAUGAGAGCUUCGAUCUCAUCCUUAAGCUGGAUGCAUUGCUCGGUAUUGUGGCCGUGGCUCCGGUGAAAUCGGUAGUACUUCCGUCGGUCGAGGCCCUUUGCCUUCAAAGGCGGAGGCCGUCGCAAGUACUCUUCCCCUUCGAUCUCCAUCAAAAUCUGCACACGAGGAGCAGAGAGAGGAGUGUAGGAGUCGUACCUGGGGUGUGUCGGCCUUGGGCUUCACCGUCGGGGCGACCUCUGGUUCCGUUGUGGGGGUGAGACCCGACUGUCGGUCGGGGGCCUGCUAAGCACGGCAGGGUUCCGACCCUUCCUUCUCUUCUCCUUCGGGCCCUUGGGCUCGGCCAGGUGCCGGUCGGAAGCUCCUUCAUCCGCACGCAUAUACUUGUAUGCGCGCUCCAGCAAUUCAACGUACGUU